UAGGGAAUCUUCGGCAAUGGACGAAAGUCUGACCGAGCAACGCCGCGUGAGUGAAGAAGGUUUUCGGAUCGUAAAACUCUGUUGUUAGAGAAGAACAAGGACGUUAGUAACUGAACGUCCCCUGACGGUAUCUAACCAGAAAGCCACGGCUAACUACGUUCCAGCAGCCGCGGUAAUACGUAGGUGGCAAGCGUUGUCCGGAUUUAUUUGGCGUAAAGCGAGCGCAGGCGGUUUCUUAAGUCUGAUGUGAAAGCCCCCGGCUCAACCGGGGAGGGUCAUUGGAAACUGGGAGACUUGAGUGCAGAAGAGGAGAGUGGAAUUCCAUGUGUAGCGGUGAAAUGCGUAGAUAUAUGGGGGAACACCAGUGGCGAAGGCGGCUCUCUGGUCUGUAACUGACGCUGAGGCUCGAAAGCGUGGGGAGCAAACAGG
rnacentral:rRNA from 1 species